UGAGGAAUAUUGGUCAAUGGGCGAGAGCCUGAACCAGCCAAGUAGCGUGCAGGAUGACGGCCCUAUGGGUUGUAAACUGCUUUUAUAUGGGAAUAAAGUGAGGGACGUGUCCCUUAUUGCAUGUACCAUACGAAUAAGGACCGGCUAAUUCCGUGCCAGCAGCCGCGGUAAUACGGAAGGUCCAGGCGUUAUCCGGAUUUAUUGGGUUUAAAGGGAGCGUAGGCUGUUUGUUAAGCGUGUUGUGAAAUGUAGGAGCUCAACUUUUAGAUUGCAGCGCGAACUGGCAGACUUGAGUGCGCACAACGUAGGCGGAAUUCAUGGUGUAGCGGUGAAAUGCUUAGAUAUCAUGACGAACUCCGAUUGCGAAGGCAGCUUAAGGGAGCGAAACUGACGCUAAAGCUCGAAGGUGCGGGUAUCGAACAGG
rnacentral:rRNA from 1 species